CGGCGUAAAGCGUGGUUAAGAUAUUAAUUAAAUAGGGUCAAAUAGCCUCUAAGCAGUCAAAUACUAUCGAAACCACAAAGCACAUCUACGAAAGUAACCCUAACACUUCUGACCCCACGAAAGCCAUAACACAAACUGGGAUUAGAUACCCCACUAUGUAUGGCUGUUAAAAUUGAUGGUACUUCACUCGAACCAUUCGCCCGGGAACUACGAGCCUCAGCUUAAAACCCAAAGGACCUGGCGGUGCUUUAGAUCCCCCUAGAGGAGCCUGUUCUAUAACUGACAACCCCCGUUAAACCUCACCACCCCUUGUCAAAUCCGCCUAUAUACCACCGUCGUAAGCUUACCCUACUGAAGGUUAAAAAGUAAGCCCCAAUAGUAAUACUAAAGACGUCAGGUCGAGGUGUAGCGUAUGGAGUGGGAAGAAAUGGGCUACAUUCCCUAAAGAAGGGAACACGAAUGGUAGUUUGAAAAAACUACACUGAAGGAGGAUUUAGUAGUAAGGAAGGAAUAGAGUGCCCUACUGAAAAUGGCCCUAAAGCGCGUACAGACCGCCCGUCACUCUCCCCGAAACAAUCUCUUUAUUCCUAAUAACUUAAACAAAAUAAGGUGAGAUAAGUCGUAACAUGGUAAGUGUACCGGA
rnacentral:rRNA from 1 species